AGAGAGGAGAAAAAAGGAAGAAGAAGAGGAGAAGAAAGGAAGAGAUUCAAGGAGGGCCAUACCUGUAGGGAGCUGAUUGAGAUUGCAAUCAAAGAGCCUUCUAGCCGCCAUUGAGAAGACAAGCUAAUCGCAACAAGAUGAUGGGGUAUGUGAGUGUGUGGAUUGCACUGGAAGCCAAGAGUGACAAGAUGCUGAAGAAGAUGCAUGAUAGUUCUUUUAUUUUUAUUCAAAAGAUAGAGACAUUUAAUUUCAUUACUAUGAGAUAUUAAAUAAUGGUGUAUGAGACAUUUUGAGUUGAUUUUAUUUACUUUCCUUUAUACUAUAUUUUAAAACAUAUAAUAAAUGUUUGACGCCACCACCAGGCAUUGAGGUAUUUAAA